rfam:Clostridium sp. Maddingley MBC34-26 contig_187_2, whole genome shotgun sequence.
AAUGAUACUUCUGCCUUGAACGCUUAUCGGCAUUGGGCAGCCCACAAAGAAUGAUGGGAUAACGCUCCUUUGGUUUGAGAACUUAUAGCCAUGGCAGCUUAU